GACGAACGCUGGCGGCGUGCCUAAUACAUGCAAGUAGAACGCACAGUUUAUACCGUAGCUUGCUACACCAUAGACUGUGAGUUGCGAACGGGUGAGUAACGCGUAGGUAACCUGCCUGGUAGCGGGGGAUAACUAUUGGAAACGAUAGCUAAUACCGCAUAAUAUUAAUUAUUGCAUGAUAAUUAAUUGAAAGGUGCAAUUGCACCACUACCAGAUGGACCUGCGUUGUAUUAGCUAGUAGGUGAGGUAACGGCUCACCUAGGCGACGAUACAUAGCCGACCUGAGAGGGUGAUCGGCCACACUGGGACUGAGACACGGCCCAGACUCCUACGGGAGGCAGCAGUAGGGAAUCUUCGGCAAUGGACGAAAGUCUGACCGAGCAACGCCGCGUGAGUGAAGAAGGUUUUCGGAUCGUAAAGCGCUGUUGUAAGAGAAGAACGGGUGUGAGAGUGGAAAGUUCACACUGUGACGGUAGCUUACCAGAAAGGGACGGCUAACUACGUGC
rnacentral:rRNA from 1 species